AACCGGGAGAACUGAAACAUCUAAGUACCCCGAGGAAAAGAAAUCAACCGAGAUUCCGCAAGUAGCGGCGAGCGAACGCGGAGAAGCCCAAUUAAGUUGCGUAUGAGCUAGUAGAACAUCCUGGGAAGGGUGGCCAUAGAGGGUGAUAGCCCCGUAUACGAAAGCCAUACACAAUGAAUCGAGUAGGGCGGGACACGUGAAAUCCUGUCUGAACAUGGGGGGACCAUCCUCCAAGGCUAAAUACUCGUUGUCGACCGAUAGUGAACCAGUACCGUGAGGGAAAGGCGAAAAGAACCCUGGUGAAGGGAGUGAAAUAGAACCUGAAACCGUGUGCAUACAAGCAGUCAGAGCAUAUGAAGAUAUGUGAUGGCGUACCUUUUGUAUAAUGGGUCAGCGAGUUACAUUCAGUGGCGAGGUUAACCGAAUAGGGGAGCCGUAGCGAAAGCGAGUCUUAAUAGGGCGAUAAGUCUCUGGGUGUAGACCCGAAACCGGGCGAUCUAUCCAUGGGCAGGUUGAAGGUUGAGUAACAUCAACUGGAGGACCGAACCCACGCAUGUUGAAAAAUGCGGGGAUGACCUGUGGAUAGGAGUGAAAGGCUAAACAAGCUCGGAGAUAGCUGGUUCUCCCCGAAAACUAUUGAGGUAGUGCCUUGUAGAUUGACUUACGGGGGUAGAGCACUGUUUCGGCUAGGGGGUCAUACCGACUUACCAACCCGAUGCAAACUCCGAAUACCGUAAAGUUUUACUACAGGAGACACACGGCGGGUGCUAACGUCCGUCGUGAAGAGGGAAACAACCCAGACCGCCAGCUAAGGUCCCGAAAUGACAGUUCAGUGGGAAACGAAGUGGGAAGGCUUAGACAGCUAGGAGGUUGGCUUAGAAGCAGCCAUCCUUUAAAGAAAGCGUAAUAGCUCACUAGUCGAGUCGUCCUGCGCGGAAGAUUUACCGGGGCUAAACUGCCUACCGAAGCUGCGGAUUUGCAUGAAGAUGCAAGUGGUAGGGGAGCGUUGUGUAAGCCGAAGAAGGUGUGUUGAGAAGCAUGCUGGAGGUAUCACAAGUGCGAAUGCUGACAUGAGUAACGAUAAUGCGGGUGAAAAACCCGCACACCGAAAACCCAAGGUUUCCUGCGCAACGCUAAUCGGCGCAGGGUGAGUCGGCCCCUAAGGCGAGGCGGAAACGCGUAGUCGAUGGGAAACAGGUUAAUAUUCCUGUACUGAUCAUAAUUGCGAUGGGGGGACGGAGAAAGCUAGGCCAGCACACUGUUGGAUGUGUGUUUAAGCGCGUAGGUUGGGGACUUAGGCAAAUCCGGGUUCCUAAGACUGAAACGUGAUGACGAGUUUCUACGGAAACGAAGUGGUUGAUGCUCUGCUUCCAGGAAAAGCCUCUAAGCUUCAGAUUAUGACAACCGUACCCCAAACCGACACAGGUGGGUAGGAAGAGAAUUCCAAGGUGCUUGAGAGAACUCGGGUAAAGGAACUCGGCAAAAUGAUACCGUAACUUCGGGAUAAGGUAUGCCUCUGAUGGUGAAUAGCUGUUGGAGGCCGCAGAGAAUAGGCCGCUGCGACUGUUUAUCAAAAACACAGCACUCUGCAAACACGCAAGUGGACGUAUAGGGUGUGACGCCUGCCCGGUGCCGGAAGGUUAAUUGAUGGGGUGCAAGCUCUUGAUCGAAGCCCCGGUAAACGGCGGCCGUAACUAUAACGGUCCUAAGGUAGCGAAAUUCCUUGUCGGGUAAGUUCCGACCUGCACGAAUGGCGUAACGAUGGCCACACUGUCUCCUCCCGAGACUCAGCGAAGUUG
rnacentral:rRNA from 1 species